rnacentral:lncRNA from 1 species
CAAAUAGAUUGUGGAAUCUGAGAUCCCGUUCAGUAUAAUUCCAAUUCCUUUAUGGCCCUUUUUAUAUCCUUUAGCAAUACAGACUAGUACAGAACCAUCACCAAAAGGUUUUGUACUGGUUUGGAACAUAGAGAAAGAUGGAAGUGUUUGAUGAAAUUGGGCAGAGAAAUCCUGACUGAGGAAGUUGGAGGACUACCAGGUCUUUGAGGACACGGAGCGCAUUGUACAUCCUGGCUUUGCUGUAACCAACGAAUAAACUCAAAGCAAAACAGAAGUUCAGAGUUUCUCAGGACAGCCACUGUUUGGUCUUUGGAAAAUACAUCACACAUUCACCUGCUCAGAAUGAAAACAACCCAUACAUUCCACAGUGAAGAAAGAAUGUCAAGAGAAGCAUCGUCAGAGCUUUUGGAUAUUUCUUACCAUAUGAGGAGUUAAGUAGAGUCGAGUGAAUGUGGAAGCCUUCAUGAAAUUCAUGUAUUUUGUUAAUAUAAUUGAAAUUGUUUUAUGAUUUGGGAACUUACUGAUAAAGCUUUGUAAAACUACAGAUAAUAAACUAUAUUUAGUUACAUAUUGAAUAAGUCA